rnacentral:rRNA from 1 species
GUCGAGCGAGAACCGUAGCAAUACGGGGACAGCGGCGAAAGGGACAGUAAUGUGUAGAUUAUCUACCCUCAGGUCCGGGAUAGCUGCGGGAAACUGCAGGUAAUACCGGAUAACAUCUCCGGAUCAAAGGUGUAAUUCCGCCUGAGGAUGAGUCUGCAUCCUAUUAGCUAGUUGGUGAGGUAAUGGCUCACCAAGGCUGUGAUGGGUAGCAGGUGUGAGAGCACGACCUGCGUCAUUGGGACUGAGACACUGCCCAGACACCUACGGGUGGCUGCAGUCGAGAAUCUUCGGCAAUGGGCGCAAGCCUGACCGAGCGACGCCGCGUGUGGGAUGAAGGCCUUCGGGUUGUAAACCACUGUCAGAGGGGAUGAAAUGCAGGUGGGUUCUCCCAUCUGUUUGACAUAGCCUCAGAGGAAGGACGGGCUAAGUUCGUGCCAGCAGCCGCGGUAAGACGAACCGUCCAAACGUUAUUCGGAAUCACUGGGCUUAAAGGGUGCGUAGGCGGCGCGGAAAGUUGGGUGUGAAAUCCCUCGGCUCAACCGAGGAACUGCGCCCAAAACUGCCGUGCUCGAGGGAGAUAGAGGUGAGCGGAACUUAGGGUGGAGCGGUGAAAUGCGUUGAUAUCCUAAGGAACACCGGUGGCGAAAGCGGCUCACUGGAUCUCUUCUGACGCUGAUGCACGAAAGCUAGGGUAGCGAAC